rnacentral:rRNA from 1 species
GACGAACCGUCCGAACGUUAUUCGGAAUUACUGGGCUUAAAGGGUGCGUAGGCGGCCUUGUAAGUCAGGUGUGAAAUCCCACAGCUCAACUGUGGAACUGCGCUUGAAACUACAAGGCUUGAGGGAGAUAGAGGUGAGCGGAACUGAUGGUGGAGCGGUGAAAUGCGUUGAUAUCAUCAGGAACACCUGCGGCGAAGGCGGCUCACUGGAUCUCUUCUGACGCUCAGGCACGAAAGCUAGGGGAGCGAACGGG